rnacentral:miRNA from 1 species
GUGAUUUCCUGUCUGU